rnacentral:misc_RNA from 1 species
CGUGAGUGUCACCACUCCCAACCCACUGUUUACCUACCCGUCCACCGUGCAUUCGGCAGGCAGUCCUGUGGGACAGGGCCUCGCCCCCGCGAGGGGGUGCCUGCCGCUGGCCAACCAAAAUUUCUAGCUGUUUUUGUACCAUCUGAGUCUUCCACAAAUAAACA